rnacentral:rRNA from 1 species
UGAGGUGGCGGCCACCAACUGGGACGUGAGACACGGCCCACACUCCUACGGGAGGCAGCAG